CAGAGAGAAAGUAGACUUGCUACCACUUAUAAAUAUGGACGUUAGGUCCUGGGAUUGAGUUAUCAUCACAACUAUCUACCAUUGGCAUCAUGGCGUACUAUUACAUAUUACCAUCGAAUCAAAUUGUAAACUCUCGCGGCGCCACUCUUU